rnacentral:rRNA from 1 species
CUUCGGCUCGACUCUCCCACCCUUUGUGAACGUACCUCUGUUGCUUUGGCGGCUCCGGCCGCCAAAGGACCUCCAAACUCCAGUCAGUAAACGCAGACGUCUGAUAAACAAGU